rnacentral:tRNA from 1 species
UCCCUGGAGGAGUAGUGGUUAGGCCUCGGUGCUCUCACUACUGCGGCCCGGGUUCGAUUCCCAGCCAGGGAA